AGAAGUCCAGGGCUAGGAGCCUCAGCCGGCGGACGCCAGGAAACAGCAGUUACUGAUGCUACAAUAUUCCUUUAUGAAGCCAAGAACUGAACCAAAAUACAAACAACAUAAACUACCACUUGAUGAGAAGAACUUCAAAGUCAAAUUGCAAAAGGUGACUAAAAAAGGGGAGUACUUUCAGCCGUUUUCAAAAUAAUCUAUGAUAUGUACUGGAAAACUUCUAAUAAUCCUUGUCAUUUUACAACUUUCCCACAGUUAGAUCAUCAGCAAAUGUCACUUGGAUCCCUAGCUAAAUUGUUCUUCCCAGAAAAUAGUUAUCUCCACUAUGGAAAGUAUUUUAUCAGAAGAAUUCGUAGAAGUAGAAUCUGUUUGUCUUCAGUUAAACAAAAGAAGAACCUCAUUGCUUUCCAACUGGGCCCCGGCCAUUUUCCAGUUGAAACAUCAAAUAUUUUAUUUGUGUCUUUCACUGCCAAUUAAAGGGCAACAGAAAUGGUACAGGCUCCCUCUGCAGUGGAAUUACCCUUAUGUCUUUUCUGUCUAUGCUGAUCCACCUGAUCUUGAACUGGUGCUAUUCCAUGGGGAAAAUUGGAACAUGGGGCAAUUAACACUUUCUCCACUUUAUCCCAUCAACAGGAAAUUGAAAUAUAACCAACUAACUCAGGAGACAUCAUGGAAGAUGUCACACAGUGAAUGAUGAUGAAGCAGAAUUUUUAAAAUGUGUAGGAUUACGAGAAGUGGGCAAGUACUUAUGAAAAGAUACCAUAAACAAAACCUAUUUUACUUCAGACAUUCUCUAAACUUUAUUUCAACCUUUAGAAACUGUGAAUAAGUACAUUUGUCCUUCAAAGUUAUAUAAAUUAAAGGGCUAUUUUGCCAUAUAAAUGAAAGUAUUUCCAAUUCCACAAAAAUGUCUUAUGAUCAACAAAUGAAUCUUGGUAUUUAUAAAGUUCUGGUUGUUACUGAUAUUUUAUAAUCUGACCUAGCUUAACUGUCCAGGUUAAUUUCCCACCAAUUUUCAAUAGGCACAUUUCAUUUUGACCAAACCAGGUUACAACUGAAACUAUCGUAUCUUAACCAAUCUGUAGUAGUAUUUAAUUAAAAAUACUUGUUAAAGCAGUAAAUUGAAAAUUAUACUUAGGUAUUAUAAACAUUGCAUUUAACAUGAACCAUAUACAUAGAUAUUCAUUUGUCAAACUUUUGUUGUAGGGUCAUUUUUCUUUGUGUAUGGUAUUGCUGAUGCAGUUUAAUGCUCCAUUACUUCUAAAUUUUCAUCAUAAGCUAGAUUUUCCAGUUGUGGUUUCUAUAAAGAAAAACAAACAUUCUGAAGACAGUUUUUCCAGAUUUAUUCCAGAUAUCGAUGAUUAACUUUUGAAGAAAUAUCUGAAUGAAAUGCUCAUGAAAGGAUUAAGAAAGUCUGCAGUUGAGCCUGGAGCCAGCAAAAGACAUCAUCACUAAAAGUAUAUGCAUGACCCGCAUUUGUUGCCUUUAUGGUCCUUACCCAAGAUAUUUGAAUUCACCAGAAUGGUCUUAAUAUGGUAUUGUAAGUACCUGGAUCUGAAAACCAUUAAGUAUGAGAGUGCGCUGUAUUGGUGAUGCCAGUUUGUGGACUCCUUAUGUAAAUAAAUGAAGGACAAGUUAAAAACUGCAGUCACUCAUGUGAAAUAUAAAAGGCUGGCAGAAUACGGCUAAAUGUCGAGGUCUAGCCCAAUGUGUGAGAUUUAGAGAAAUCAUGUAUUCCAAUAAAAUCAGAUAUACUCCUGAAA
ensembl:lncRNA LINC00879 long intergenic non-protein coding RNA 879